rnacentral:lncRNA from 1 species
AUGCUGGUGGUGGUCAGCCAAACUAUCAGCCCCAAAUGCCAAACCCACAGGCGGGCUACAACCCUGGUGGUGCUCCUCACUACCAGCAAGGUGGUGCUCCUGGCUACCAAGGUGGACCUCCGGGGUAUCAAGGUGGUAACCAAGGUUACCAAGGGAACCCAGGCCCGGCCUACCAAGGUGGUAACCCUGGCUACCAAGGUGGCCCACCUGGUUACCCUGGUGGCAACCCACCACCUCCACCUCCCUACCAAGGAGGCAACCCCAAUGCACCGCCAUACCCUGGUGGUGGCAAUCCUGGCUACCCUGGUGGCAGCCCAGGCUACCAAGGUCAAGGAGGCAACUCGAACUUCCAAUGAACAUGACCACGCCUAAGUAUAAGUAGGCACCCCUGUUCCAGAGUAGCCUUCUGGGAGAGAUGGUGUGCAGUAGCAUAAAUCGAACCCUUGUUGCUAUCUGAUUUUCAUGCACUGUCGCUGUAUGCACCUAAUUAUUAUGUUCUAUAUAGUACUCAACUGUGCUUGGUGUCUGAGUGAUGCACCCGGAAUUCUGAAACUAUGGAUGAUGUACCAUCAGCUCUUCUGCUCUUGAAUUCCCUUGCUGAGCCAUAUGCUCAGCAGUUGUCGGCUUUGUCUGUCUUUGUUCGUUUUGAAUGAUUUUUUACCCACAAACUUGUUACAGCUCAUCCUGCUAAAUUCAUGUGAUAUUUUUUCCUGCAUUUUACAUUGAACGGUCCGCACGUUCAUUUCAUGCUCGUAUACUUGAGACACGAGACUUGAACGGGCGUCAUCGUUAAACCACAGGACGCUUCAUCUUUCGAAAAACCUAAAAUACACGAGGACGUGAUGCACGAACCUCGACCAUCUCUGUCUACUGACCAAAACCACUUUUUCAAUGUUGUAAAAAACCACUUUUUCAAAAACUGUUUAAAGCUUAUUAAUAUUUGGCGUGAUCACUGCCUGGCGCCCAAAAGGCCCAAUCAGCCACCGUAUGUAUAGAGUACCCAAUAAGAGCAUUUUUAGCGGAAGUUGCAUCUGCUACCAAAGGUUUUAUGAAAAGAGAAAAAAACAAGUUUUAUUGGAAUUGAACUCUUUAACUCAGUUUUUAACUAUGAGACAUAAAAUUAAUGUCUACGAAACAAUAAAAUAAAACUAUAUAUUGAGGAUGAGUGUUCCAUAAACACAUUUUAUGUGAUGUGAUAGUUUUGAAAAAUAAUGAGAUGAAACUCUCUAUUAUGAAUGACAUAAUGCACACUAAAUAUACCAUGAUGCCAUGAAUCAUGAUGGUCACUAUCUCCCUCCGAUUUCACUAGCGCUACCAGUGAAAUGCAUUUUGUCAGCUAAGAUUCUUGGGUUCUAUUUGUUUAGUGGUUGGCCGUAACGAUUUAACUUGUGCCGGGACUACGACAGUUCAACGUUUUUUGAAUAACUUCCUAGAAUCAUUAAUGAAUAUAUGAGGGUUACACGAAUCACUUACUUAACACCACCAUGGUGUGAUGGCUCGGUGGCUAUGCGCUCUUUCACACAUAUCUCUAAUGCGCUCUUCAUAGAUACAUGAUCUGUUCAACAAAAGAAAAUCCUCUGGUGGCGGAGCUAAAAUUUGAAUAUAAAGGUGGUGUCGUGCGAACGAAUAACAAUCACACAUGAUGAAAUACAUAUAACAUAUAUAUACAUAACAACCAAAAAAAUAUUUUAUGUUAUAAUACAAAAAAACUAAAAACUAGAAAAAAAAAACAUAAAAUAUUUUAGUGUCAGCACCAAUUGGUUCUUUGCAGUUGAAAGCCUUUUUAACUGAUCAUUGAUGGAUAUUGGGGAAGAAAACUCGUCCUGUGGUCGUGGGAAGUUCCCGUGCAUAUGGUUGUGCAAUCGUGGCUUGAUCCACUGACAAGUGACAAGUACGGUUGGGAGCAUCUCCAAUAGUUUUGAAAAAACGACUUGGCAGUGUUUUAGCAACUCGGAAAAACAAAUGGCAAUUCAGAAUCUAGACAAUCUCCAAUAGUUUCGGAAAAACGACUUGGCAAAUUAAAAAUUAGAAGGACACCGCCACCUCCUACCCUUCUGCUGCCCUAUCCUUCUGCCGCUAUUCUCCUCCCUCAGCCAUGUGUUCAUUGGUAGUAGUACUUGUAGCUAUGUUUAUUGGCACUUGUAUGCUGCGUGUGUUUAUUGGCCAAGACUACCUGCUGCACUAGUGCAUAGGUCCUGUUUUUUUUGUCCGUACAGCUCUGGUGCACAGGUUCUGCUGCUGGCCGACAACGACUGGGGCAGUAGUACUGACAGCAUCAGAUCAUCAACCUGACACUAGCAGCAGCACGUAUGAGGUCGGAGGCGUGCGAGAGGGAUUCGGGCCGCGGGGAGUGUGAUGGGAAAGCGAGUACGCGCGUGGAUGGGAGUUUUCCAAGCUCCGAGAUUUAGAGCAUCUCCAACAAGUUAAAGCCACUUGGUAUUCUUAAAAUUUUAGCAAAAACUGAAAAACACUUCUCCAACAACUUUGUAAACUCACUUUGUAUAUUUCCAAACUGCGUAAAUCCGGCUUCCGCGCGCGGAACUAUACGCGCGCGACGGAGCUUUGUAUCCGCGAAAUUCUCCGUCGCCGCCUCCGCUCCCGCGCUCGCGCGUCGCCUCCCGCGCGCGCCAAACCAUCUCCCGCGCUAGAAAAGUGUUGCCCGGCCGGCAAAUCAACCUGAGUCGACAGCAUGCAGGCCGAUCAGAUGCACUGCUUUGUUGACAGCGACAGCAGCAAAUCAAUGAUUGACAGCAGUGCAGAACGAUCAAGCAACAGGCCAUUUUAUUUUUUUCAGUGCAGAACGAUCAAGCAACUGCUUUGUUGACAGCGACACCGUGAGUGUAGGGAUCGCCGGAGUACUGUAGCGACGUGCGUGAGCCCCGACUGCCUGCGUCGUGCGGAAGGAGGAGCGUCGUGUGCGCGGACGGACUCGCGUGCGGAAGGAGAAGGGUCGGCGCCAUGCGGGUGGAGGACAGGCCGCGUGAAGUUCUGGAGGUCGAUGGGCCAAUUGGGUUUUGGAGGUAGAUGGGCCAAGUUUUUCAAUUUUAGCAAGUGAGAAUACCAAAUUGUUGGAGACACAUCUUAUUUGCACUUGCUAAACAAAAUAGCAACUUGGUAUAACCCAAGAUAUACCAAGUGAAUUAUACAAACUUGUUGGAGAUGCUCUUAGAAAGUCACUUUUCCAAACUAUUGGAGGCCAAAUUUUUAUAUUUUGCCAAAAAUUAAAGGAUAGCAAUAUGGUUUAGGAAACUGUUGGAGAUGCUCUAAGAUGGGAUCAUCCUGUAUACUAAUACAUGACCAUCGCGCGGCGAGGCGGCCAGCAGGAGGUGGGGCCCAUCCCGCUCGGGACAGCGGGAGAAGCGAAGCCCUAGAAGGCCCACAUUUAACAUUCGAGAGCCCACGGCCCACAAGCCCAUGUACAGUACAGCCUCUCGACUCCGCCAGAUAAUUCGGCCCCUCAGCAACUAGGCCUUGUUUAGUUCACCCAAAAAGUAAAAACUUUUUUAAAAUUUUCUGUCACAUCGAAUUUUACUGUUCAUAUACGGAGUAUUAAAUAUAGAUAAAAACAAAAACUAAUUGUAUAGUUUAUAUGUAAAUCGCGAAACGAAUUUUGUAAGCCUAGUUAUUCUAUAAUUGGACAAUGUUUGUCAAAUAAAAACGAAAAUGCUACAAAUUUUUUCGCAUUUAAACAAGUCCUAAUCUGCCUCAUUUGCCGCAAUAAUAACACACCUCACCAGAUGCGGCUUAAACCCUUAUUAUUCGCCACCGCCGCGUCCUCUUGUCUCAUCUCCCUCCAGGCCAGGGUUUGGCACUUUGGCCUUCGCAAUGGCGUCGGCGUCGCGCGCGCUCCACCUCUCCCGUGCGCUCCAGGGCGGCCGCCGCAUCACCACCCUCCUGCGCCCGCUCGCUGCGACCGAGAGCCUCCUCCCGGCGGGGGCCGGUGCGUCCGCCCCCGGCGCCGGGUUGCGGUGCUUCGCGACCCAGCCGGCCACGUCCUCGCUGCGGGACUCCUCCCCGAACUGGAUCAAUACCCGCCCGUCCAAGGAGAUGAUCCUCCUCGACGGGUGCGACUUCGAGCACUGGCUCGUCGUCAUGGAGCCACCGCCUGGUGACCCCUCCAACCCCGACAUUCCGCGCGACGAGAUCAUCGAUAGCUAUAUCAAGACCCUCGCCCAAGUCGUAGGGAGGUAUAUAUGGCUGGAUCCAUUUCUCUGUUUAGUUGUUGUUGGUGUGUUUCCUGCUAGGAUACUUGUUGGUGUGUUUCUGCUAGGAUUGAUAAAAGUGUUCUGUUGUUGCGCAUGACCAUAACAGUGUAUAGUGUUUAAUUUAUUGGAAUUAGGACUGGCUGGAUAUGUUACUAAUUGUUCAGAAAUUCAGACUGAAUCUUUUGGUAUUAUUGGUUCUGGCAUGCGGCCUUUGUUGGGUUCAUGUUCAAUAUUCAUGUUGAAUGUAUAAAAAAGGACGGAAGUGAGAGUAUGCAGGCCAAUGCAUGCAUGCAGCAUGCGUAUCUUGGUAAUUUGAGUAGUAAUCCGGCGGAGUACUGAACAGGCCCCUAGACACACCAGCCCGCCGCCUAUUGUGGCCAAAUAAAUAAACCGCUUGUAUGCUGCCUAUAUAGGAACAUAGGGAGUACUAACUAUUAGAUGGAGAGUCCAAAUGGGGCUCGAUUAAUAGGUUAACUACUAGUCCCGCUAAAUAAAAAGCUACUAGCUGUCUUCCCUCUGCUAGCUGCUAACUAUUGGCGCCAAUGGAUCCAAAAAAGGGCCCAAGCCCCAAAAUGAUCCUCUGCUGUGAUAUUUUCAGAUUUGUUCUUUGAUAUGAUCCAGUUAUGGUUCUUUUGUGCGUCUAGCACAUUAGAGCUUUGGAGUGCUGAUAUAUUUCUGCAAGUUUUAGUUCAUAGAAUGCAGUUCUUUUUGCUCAUUUUUUCUCUACAACGCCUGCAUAAAAAAACAAACUCCUUGUUUCAGUGAGGAAGAAGCUAGGCAAAAGAUAUAUUCUGUAUCGACCCGUCAUUACUUUGCUUUUGGUGCCCUUGUACCAGAGGAAGUUUCUUACAAACUGAAAGGUAUUUAUAAUCUCAUUAAGUAAUAUAACAGUAAGAAGUAAUUCAUUUGUCCUUGGAUUGUAAUGCCACUUAAUUGUUUGCAGAGAUGCCCAAGGUUCGCUGGGUUCUUCCUGAUUCAUACUUGAAUGUGCAAACUAAGGACUAUGGAGGUACUGAUAACAUAGUUCCUAUCCAAGUAAUACUAUUGGAACCUUCUACUCAGAAUUGACCACUGAUACAUGGUAUAAACAUAGCCUUAAUGAAUUAACUGACUUGGUUUACUUAUUAAAAUACAAUUGAAAUUGAAAUACAAAAUCGAAAAAAUCAGACCUGUUAGCAUUCUAAGGUCAAAAGUAUAUAUUUGCAUUUUCAGGGUCAUGUACAAAAAUCCUUUUCAUUAUUCUCUAAUUGACUUUUUCACAUUCUCUUUGUUGUUUGUUGACACUGGUAUGUCGUUCUUGCUUGUUGUACUCAAUGUACAACAUCUGAUUUUAAAACUUGAGUAAUUUAAAUCUUCAUUAUUUUAUAUCAUACGUGAAUGUCUUAAUUGGUUUGCUAGUAGUGUCCAAACAACUGGUCUACAAAAUUUUGAUCCUCUACUUAAUUGACUCCCCUGUUUUUUUUUCUGCCCUGUGCCCUCUAAUUUUCUUCUUUAGGAUUGUGAUGUAAGGAUAUCACUGUCAUCAAGAAUAACAUAUAAUGAAGUGCUUUGUCAAAUCAUCUUUAUGCCGUCUUGAGAAACACCAAUUACACCAAUAUAUGUUUUAGAACCUAUAACUUGGGAUGGCAGUUCACCUCACAUGACACACCCAUUUUGUUUGAUCAACUAUGCAUGUAUAUGUAUUCAUAAGCUAUUUCAGAUUUUUUUUUUGAAUUGAAUUCAACUGAAAUGUUGGUGGCCAUAGUUUGUCCACCCAUGUUUGGACAACUGAUUCUGUGAAUUUCGUCAUACUUGUAUUGUUGAAAGUACAUUUCUGUGAAUGGGCACUAUUCAACAAAUUUUUGAUACCUUCUACUUCCUGUUUCAGGAGAACCCUUCGUAAAUGGGGAAGCUGUUCCUUAUGAUCCUAAAUUCCAUGAGGAGUGGGUGAGAAACAAUGCCCGUGCCAAUGAAAGAUCCCGGCGAAAUGAUAGGCCCCGCAAUUUUGACAGGUCAAGGAACUUUGAGAGGAGAAGGGGGAACAUGCAGAACUACCAGAACAGAGAUGGGCCUCUUGCGCAGGGUUUCAAUGGCCCCCCACCUCCACCUGGCCAGAACCAGAUGCCACCUCACCAUGGUCAGGACAACAUGCCGCCACCACCACCACCACCGCAUGCUGGUGGUGGUCAGCCAAACUAUGACUCCCAAAUGCCAAACCCACAGGCGGGCUACAACACUGGCGGUGCUCCUCACUACCAGCAAGGUGGUGCACCUGGCUACCAAGGUGGACCUCCGGGGUAUCAAGGUGGCAACCAAGGUUACCAUGGGAACCCAGGCGCGGCCUACCAAGGUGGCCCACCUGGUUACCCUGGUGGCAACCCAGCACCUCCCUACCCAAGGAGGUAACCCCAACGCACCGCCAUACCCGGGCGGUGGCAAUUCUGGCUACCCUGGUGGCGGCCGAGGCUACCAAGGUCAAUGAGGCAACUCAACUACCAAUGAGAAUGACC